rnacentral:lncRNA from 1 species
CUCAAAUGCAAGACUUCAGAUGGCAGAAGUGGAGACUGCAGAGUGAAGGGGGUCCAAGGUGAGCAGCUGUCGCUCAGAACAGGUGAGGAGCAGGGAAUGAGGGCUCAAGUGCGCAUCCUCCCCGGAGGUGACACUGUCAGCUGGUCAGGGCUCACUGUGCAAGUUACAGACGAACAUGGGCAGGAACCACUUUGCUCUUGGGAUGUGGAGCAUGAGCGAAGUUGAGAACUGAGUGAAGACCUCAGUAAAAACAGGUCAUUUCCUGAGAUCUGGCAGAAAAGCUCUCCUCCCCUAAAACACACCCAUGAUUACAUGUGAACAGCAGAAAUGAGGUCAAUAGGACUGCAGGGAAUGGACCUUCACACACUUUCUCCCUUUCCUCCUGGAGAUUUUCAUUUUAAUUGAAAUUUUUUUGGUACUAGGGAUGGAACCCAGAGGGACUUAACCUCUGAGCCUCAUUCCCA